rnacentral:rRNA from 1 species
AGCAGCCGCGGUAAUUCCAGCUCCAAUAGCGUAUAUUAAAGUUGCUGCAGUUAAAAAGCUCGUAGUUGAAUUUCGGGACCAUCAUGUCGGUCAUGCCUCGGUACGUACUGGUAUUGUUGGUUUCUCCCUUCUGACGAACCAUGAUGUCAUUUAUUUGGUGUUGUGGGGAAUCAGGACUGUUACUUUGAAAAAAUUAGAGUGUUUAAAGCAGGCUCACGCUUGAAUACAUUAGCAUGGAAUAAUGAAAUAGGACGUUUGAUUCUAUUUUGUUGGUUUCUAGGAUCGACGUAAUGAUUAAUAGGGAUAGUUGGGGGCAUUAGUAUUCAAUUGUCAGAGGUGAAAUUCUUGGAUUUAUUGAAGACUAACUACUGCGAAAGCAUUUGCCAAGGAUGUUUUCAUUAAUCAAGAACGAAAGUUAGGGGAUCGAAGACGAUCAGAUACCGUCGUAGUCUUAACCAUAAACUAUGCCGACUAGGGAUCGGAUGAUGUAAUUUUUAAUGACUCAUUC